CACACGGAGAAUGAAUGGAAAUAGAUAAUGCGUGUGCGCAAUCAGUGGCUUGUGGCGCACAAAUGAUCGGAUGACAACACGCCCGGUCGUACACGGGGCAUGCCAUACCUUAAGCCUUAAAUCCCGGCGGAAGAGCUUUACACCGGUACCGCCGCCCAUUCCAUGUGCGUCAUUUACUUGCGUUCCCUUCCAGCUUAACUCCCUCCAUAUCCCUCGCCUCUGCACUUCGCCUUGCAGCACCGUUCCGUCGUUGCCUUCUUCCCCACAUCAUCAUCGUCGCCCCUCCACAGACGCCGGGAGACCGACUCGGCGAUGGAUCCUCCGCCCGCUCAGUCCAUGUCUGCGACCGACGACCUGCACGACAAGAGCCUCGACGGAUGCUGUUCUUGCUGCUACGACUGCUGCUCCAGCAUCCUGGACUUCCUGUGCUGCGCUUGAUGCUGCUGCUCCUCCUCCUGCCGUUCCCACGGCUUACGGCGGAAGCGCGCGGAGAUGCCUGACUUAUUUCGGAGUACUAAUAUAGUCAUUGGGUGAUAUAUUUUAUAUAGCCUGUAUGUAAUAAGGAGAUUUAUGGAUCAAGUGCUGUAAUGUGUUGACUUAUCUUCCGCUAAAGUAGUCGUGCAAUUUGGUCUGGGAAAUUUACCCAAAUUCUGUUUUG